CACAGCUCAAGGGUGAAAAAAAAAGAAUACAGUAUAAAAAGAUUCCCUAUGGCGUUUCUCCCCAAAGGCAAAGUCUGUUUCCUCCGCCAGUGGAUUCAGUCGUUAAUGUUUUGUUUUUUCAAGAUUACGCAAAAAGUUUCCGCCAGAUUUUAAUCAAACUUACUGAAACGGUGAAGCAUGGGCCGAAAAGGAUCGUUAGUGAUUUUGGGUACAUUCUGAUAAAAAGUAAACGAGCAAUAUCGAAUUAGGAUGAAAAAACGGAUUGACUGAGUAACUUUGAACGGAACGGACACUUUGGAAACAGACCAAUCAGUUAGUGCUUUUGGGGCAGAGCAGUGCGGUCGUUCUGUGGUGGUUCUGCUCUGACUGUGAAAGAUGCUGUAUGAUAUGGAAUGGCUGGGGAAGUAUUCGGACCAGACCUUGAGAGCGUGCGUCCCUUUCUGACUGACUAAACUGAUAAUGUGUUUAGGCCUAUACUUUCAAGCAUUUCGGGGUUCUCCUAUCCACGUUUGACAAGGCUUUGGUGGAGGUUGUGUUAGUGUGUCCAUGGGUAGUGUUAUGAGCCUGGUGAUAGUUUGGCAAGGCUUUGGUGGAGGUUGUGUUAGUGUGUCCAUGGGUAGUGUUAUGAGCCUGGUGAUAGUUUGGCAAGGCUUUGGUGGAGGUUGUGUUAGUGUGUCCAUGGGUAGUGUUAUGAGCCUGGUGAUAGUGUGACAAGGCUUUGGUGGAGGUUGUGUUAGUGUGUCCAUGGGUAGUGUUAUGAGCCUGGUGAUAGUUUGACAAGGCUUUGGUGGAGGUUGUGUUAGUGUGUCCAUGGGUAGUGUUAUGAGCCUGGUGAUAGUUUGGCAAGGCUUUGGUGGAGGUUGUGUUAGUGUGUCCAUGGGUAGUGUUAUGAGCCUGGUGAUAGUUUGACAAGGCUUUGGUGGAUGGAGGUUGUGUUGUGUGUCCAUGGGAGAGUUUGA